GUCUACGGCCACGCCACCCUGAACAAGCCCAAUGUCUGAUCUCGGAAGCUAAGCAGGAUCAGGCCUGGUUAGUACUUGGAUGGGAGACCACCUAGGAAGACCAGGUGCUGUAGACA
rnacentral:rRNA from 1 species